CGCGGCCCUGCACGGGCCCGGAUACCCGCAGUUCUUCGUGCGCGGUGAGGGCUGCCGCCAGUUCGACGCCGACGGCCGCGA
rnacentral:tRNA from 1 species